UGGGAUCUUCCCGAACCAGGGAUUGAACCUGUGUCACCUGCAUUGGCAGGCGAAUUCUUAACCACUGUGCCACCAGGGAAGUCCCUACACUAAUCUUUUAACAUGAAGUUUUCAUUCCAGUAAACUGCAUAUGACUACAAACAAAUGUAUUGUUUUUUCAUAAGUUCAUUGUAUCACUUACCAAAUUUUUAAAAGAUAGUUUUUAUUACAUCUUAGGGGAUAAUCAGCAGUUAUUUGUCAUUGCCAUUUCUUAGUUAAAACUAACUGCAGCAAUAAAGGUAAGGAAAAUUUUUCAAGGUUUUUCUUUUCUAGCUGUUAUGAGGGUUUCAUCCACUAACUCUCAUGAACAAUAAGUUUUAUUCUCUGUGUGAAAGUAACUUUGAUGUGAGCCUACCUGAAUCAGAUUGAUUUCAUUAUACAUCAUUCCUGAUUUUAUAGCCCACUAGGCUAAUUCGUGGAGUUAUUAUCCAUUUUUAGGAAAUCAGAGAAUUGUCCAGACAUUCUAGGAAAACAACGCGUAAUCUGUCUCAUUCACAGACCUUCAGUCAUCAUAGAGAAGAAGAGAGGAUAAAAACAGUUGCAGUUGGACUUUCUUCCUGCGAUCAUUCACUACUUAGCUCUUUGUUUUGCUCUAGGGUGAGACCAGAAUUAGACUGUUUCAAGUCACUUCAUGUUCCUAGAAAUCACUUGGCCUUAGACAUACAGCUCUAUUCAAUUCGUUACAGCCUGAUGCUGCCACAGUAGGCAAACGCCACAUUUACAUGUAUAAUUUAAACCUGCACAGAGAACAUCUGCAGCAAAACCCGCAGAAAGAGCCACCAGGCAGUCGCAGCACGUCCGGGUAGCAGCUCUCUUCUCCACUCUCCAGAGUUCCGUAUUCAGUUGGUCCAGGAGCUGACUCUCAUAUACCUCAGAAGAGUAUUUAACAAGAAGGCAAAGUUUAAGUGGCUUAAAGCCAUCAUCAGGAAAUAUCAUCAGGUCAUGCAGUGAGUAAACUGACACUAAGAGAAGUGAGCUUCCGAAGUCUCACCAGUGGCGAGCAGCUGAGAUGGAACUUGGCCUCAGAUCUGAUUCUACCCCGAUACCAACUUGUGGAUCGAAACCAUCCAGUGUUUAAUAUAUACCUUGGUGACAAAUGUGUAUCAUUACUAUCGCAUAUUUGUUUCCUCUCUGUUGGAACUUAAAGGAAUCUUGAGACAUGACCCCGCCCACUCUCAUUUUAUUGAUGGGGAGCAUGGUACAGGGCUAUCAAGAAGCUGUCCAACGUUCACAGGGGAAAGAAGGAAAGAGAGAUCCCGUCUGACCCCGUCACCUUUGUUUUAUCAAUUCCCGUUCCGUGAAGCAGCUUGAGGACGUGAGGGCGGCCGUUGUCCACUGCAGCUGGAAAUACUGCCUUGCAGCCUUGGUUUUGGCUUUCAAGCGGGUAAUGUUAUUUUAAUCACCCCCUGCUGAGUUUUUUCACAGAACUGAAAUUAUAAGGGCUGCUUCUAUUUUCUAUACUUGUUUAAAAUACUGUUUUGCUCUGCCACCCUAGAAUGCACAGGAGAAAGGGUGUUUUUUUUUGAUGUCAGCACAUUUCAUUUCAUUUUAAAAUGACCACAUCCUGGUUGACAGGGGCUUGGAUUCUUCCAAGGAAGCCGAGGGUGGAGAGGUGGUCAGUUAAUACUGUCAUUGGCCUGCAGAGGGAGCUCUGCGGUUUUCUUUUUCUCCAAUGCACAUCUGGCCCAUUGGUUAAUGUAGGGGAGUGACUUAUGGACUAUAUAGUAUUAGAGAGUCAACUUAGCUUUUCCUUUCCCUACUGCUCUGCUAUGUAAUGGAUCUCCACGCCAGGAGUCGGGGUCAGUGCACAGAGGGUUUUACUCACACGUGCUCCACAGCGCUCUGAAAGGCUCUGGAAAAUCUCCCUUCUAGGGAUAGGCCACAAGAAGUCUUCUGUGGUCCUGAGAACCCAGCACCCUUGGGCUUUCUACAAAGAACCAUUUCCUCUUCCGUAUAGUUUGCCAGUUACUGUUUAAAUUCAUUUUAAAAAUUAUAAAUGUAGACAUACUCAUUACAGACCAUUCUGAAAAUUGAAAACACAUUAAGAAAAGAGUUGCUCAGAACCUGCGACACAGAGCUGCCCACCAUGGCUGUAUCUCCUUCUGGUCUCAUAGGCUCCGUACUGCCUAAAGCCUUCAUGCUCUGCGAUCGACACUUGCAAAAUCCGUGUCAAGACAGCUUCCUGCGCUGGAGAAGAUCAGAGCAGGAACGGCCUGACAUCCACAGAAGGUUCUGCGAUGGCAACUCAGCUUGACUGAAGAGAAAACCCUUCUCCCUAAGUGUCCUGAAUUCCGCUGAUGAUCUGAGGACGAGUGGCUUGUCCUAGGGCUGCUUGUGGCUCGUUUUCUCAGCCCAUCCGACCCAGACAUUAAACGGCUAGUUCAUGACCCUUUGCUGUCCACGUGAUGGCAGAGAACUCUGAGAUGCCGUGUGACAUGGCAGCACACAUUUAACUUGUCACAGAACAAAUGUUUUAUUGGGAGCGGCACAUCGGACACAAGGCAGUGAGUCUGCUCCGCACACCGCAGCCUGUCUGCCCUUGAGCGUUUGGAAGAAGCAAAGAGGGUGGAGACCGCAGCUCUGGUGCUGGCUACUGUCCACAGAGAGAAAAAUGUUGAUUUUUUGUGGAUGAAAUGUUUCCCUGCUCAACUGAGGUGUCAUCAGCAUCUCAACAAUGAAGAGGAAUAGAAUUUGUAAGAGAUAAAAGGCUGCCCUCAUCAGCAUUUUAAUUCAAGGAGAAGCGCACCUAUUGAAAAGGGUUCUGUCCAUCUACACACAGCUUUGUAAGAAGGGUUAGAAGGUCCAGGAUGAGCCAGCAAAGAUGACAGGAAGGAAACGCCUAUAUGGCUCCCCACGUAAUUGAGCGUCUUCUUGGAUUGGGCCAAGAGGACGAAGUCUAAGCAGUUGACCCUGGACAGAUAGCUGACGAAAGACGCAGCUGGAGAUGCUGGGCGUUGAAGGAAAAGACCCUGGCUGGUCGGGUGCUGGUGACCUGUGACAUUGGACUCUGUGGGUCCAAGAGGCCUCAGAAGCAAGUAAGCACCCAGCUGGGCAGGCAGGGGAGGCUUCUCCCUCCUCUGACUCCCAUAUCCUCACCCACCCCACCAACCACAUGGAUGUUUUCAGUCUUUGGAAUUACAAGUUCUGUGUUUCAGAUCGCAUGAGUGAUGUAUGUUCCUCGUAGAAAUGUGAAAAGUAAGCACAAGGACAAAAGUUCCCUGUGAUCCUGGUACCCAGAGCAAGGAUUGUUCGUAUUUCAGUGUACGAUGCAGCCAUACUUGUUUCUGCAACUAAAUAUGCCCCCGUGCUCUAACGGGGACUUGAGGAGACACGAAAGCCCCCCUUCAGAUGCAGGCUUCCUGAUUCUUACGAUAGAGGGAGGCCUUCAUGAUGCACAGAGGGCACAGCUGUGCGCUCUGGAGCGGGGCGACGUGCUUUGGGGUGAAGGUGAAAGGCACAACUCAGGGCAUACUGCACACAAGACGAUGUGAUGCAGCCACAUCCCCAAGAGGAAGGAGAAAGCAAGGGCAGCCAGACGUGCCUGAGCCCCAGUGCCUUGAAAUGAGUGCCAUCCUUCUGGAAACAAGAGUCCGGUGAGGAAACUGAACAAAUCCAAGGUGUCUCUUGGCCUCGGACACGGGAGCUCACAUAAUCUGCGUGGUGGAGAACACUGGUUGAGAGAUGCAGAUAUCACCUUCCCGCUGCCAGAAAAGCAGUUCACAGCAGCCCUGGCUCUGAAUCGGAGUACAAAGUGUUCCAGUUCAGAGGAAGAACUGUCACAGGUGUCACGCUGGUAAUGGUCAUUCUGACUCACAAAGCUACAAACCAUGUCUGCACCCGCCCAACCAAUGAAGCCAGGAAGCGAACUUACUAUGGGAGACAAUCUAUGCGCAGGACCAUUGGAUCAUUCGCUCUUUUGAAUUAGUCUCACUGGAACUCUCUGUGCUCCAGAGAGACACUUGUUAUUACUUAAAUUUAAAAGGUUGAAAUGGAAGACAGUUUUAGGAAUAAAGAGGGAGUUUUAGGAAGAAAAUGUAGGUCUUAGAGCGACAAGUAUUUUUUAUUAAUUGCAUCACAGAGGGCCUGGAGUUAACUGAAUCAGAUCAAACUUUUAGAAAAAUGGAUGUUCAGAAAAAGCUCCAGUAAACUUUCCAAUAGCUCAUUGAUUUUGGGCUGACCCUCUGUAACAUACCUGGAAUAUUGAAGAGGGCCUAGAAUCACCUAGAGGUGUGUUUGUGCCCCGUGUAGCAACUAUCUCAUUAUUUAGUCUGUCUGAAAUUAAUAUGCACAGCUUGGUGGGAUUUCCCGGCCUUAGGUGUUGUGGAUAAAAGUACUAUUCUACAUAAUCUGUUUCCCUUUUCCUCCUGAACACCCAGAUGGAGUCCCUUUCCCAGACUCCCUUGCAAUUCGGUGUGAUCACAUGACUGACAGUGGGUGGGACGUGAGUAGGAGACCGUGUGCGUCACUCCCAGGCCUGAAAACUUUACACCCACCCUCCGAUAUGCUCUUUUCCUUCUCCCGGUGAUUGGGGUGGCAACCCCCAGGCGACCCAGGAAGCCUCACGUUAAAGACGGCACACCACCUUCAGCCUGGGUUCUUGUACGUCUACGUUGAGCAGAGCUGCUUCCCUGGACCUCCGUGGAUGGUGCCAGUUCCCUUGUGCUGAAGCAUUGCGUGCUCGUGUCUGUUCUUUUAUUACAGCCUUGCCCACCUGAGUGAACGCAGACCCUAAUAAGGACAUCAGGGUGUUGGCAGCCUGUGCAACCCCUGCGUGCCUGCCCCAAGAUGGAAUGCUUGUUCCUAGUGUGACUUACGCAAGGUGCUCAGCAGUGUAUCUGGCCAUCCUCCCCUGGAAAGAGGUCCUCUGCAUCCCUUUGUCACCCAGCGCCCAGGGUCUGCACUCCUAUCUCUGUCACCCACGGCAGCCAGAUCGUCGACCAGCAGUUGCUCUAAAUGCAUAGAGAUUUUGGAUACGUGCUUAUUCAAACCCCCGGACACAUGAAACUGGGCUGUGCGUUCCCCUGCCACACCUUCCUGAAGCACUGGGCUUUGUUUGAAGAUUUUGGAGGAGAAAGAAUAUUAUUUCAUACUAAAAUAAACAUGAAUGGGCAGAAUGCAAAAGUGGAUGAAUUUCAAAGACCAAGCCUAAGACUUCAAAGAGAGUUCAAGUUUGCAUUUACGGUUCUGGGUCAAGUACUUAGCCCUCCCCUGGGUGCUCAUCCACUGUGAUUUAUUUAUUUAUUGUUAUUCUCAGGGUUUUAGGUUUUAAUCCAGUAGCCAAAUAUUUUCUUCCAAUACAGGGAAGACACCUAAUUCAAAGGUUGUCAGACGAUUUGUUCUUGGCCUCCCUUCUCUUCCCAUCCCCUCUCCUCCCCCCUGAAAAAAAAAAUAAAAAGAGAUAAAUUUACCACCCAAGCUUACAGACUACGACGUAGGCUAUAACGUGAGUCUCCCAGCUGAACCCUGGAAAGGGCCAGGCUCCCAUGCAGCCUGUGACCUCGGGAACCUCCUCCCCCCACUUUUCAUGAAGGUGGGAGUAGUUCUCAGGCCCAGGCCCCACUGCGUUUCUUUACCCUCAACCCAGACCAGUCCCGAGUUUGUGACUUGGAGCUGCAUGUGAUCUAGCCAUCUAACACAGAAGGGCCAGCUUCUGCCCUGAGCGGUCUUGUGUUUAACUUUCAAAGUGGGCAUCCUUUUGUUUUUCCAAAAGUGCGUGUCCUCUUCUGAUAGCCAGUGUAUCUGCAGUUAGCAUCCACUUGGGAAGAAAACAACCUCUGGAUCUGGUGGCAGAUUAGCAAAGACCUUCUCGUUUUCUGGGAGUGGACCCUCCACCAGCAACUCAUUUCGGGGUCACCAACCACAUUUCUCUUGCUGAAUUCACAGCCCUGCCUGUGGCAUCCUCUUGAAUUGCUGGACAUGUGUUUACUUGGCUCUGGUGAGGAAAGUACUCCCAGGGUCAGAUUCGCUUUGCUUUCAGAAAGGGCCAGGAUGAAGCUGGUGGAGGGGUCCAGGAGGCAGCGCCUGCCUCGAGCUCCCUGAGGACGGGGAGGUCUGAGGGGUGAGCAUGGCCAGUAUCAGAGGAGCUGGGACCCGUCUCCUGUGCCAGACCCUGUGGUGUGAGAGUUUCGCUUGGACGGGAGACAAAACCAGGAGGCAGGAGAGGGGGGUAUCAGGAUGAGGGGCAGAAGUAGAGGCCACGGUAGGAGGGGCUGGAGUGACAGGAGUAGGAGGUGCAUGGCCCAGGCGGAGGUCAGCCAGACUGUAAAUAUGGGAUCAUAAGACCUCUUCUGAGUUUUCAAUAAGAAAUCUUAGGUAAAGUGCCUAGUAUAUAAUGAAAGCUAAAUAAAUGUUAGUUAUCUGAAUGAAAAAUUAUAGAGGGGUGGGGGUGUAGACCUGCUACCACUUCCAAGGCAAAAAUAUACUGCUAAUAAUGAAAGAUUGGGAGGAAAGAGGAAGCCUUUUAUAAGAAACAUAAUUUACAGUGUUAUAAGAAUAACGUAUGUGAAAGCACUUCUCUUAAGAGACUUUAGAGCAAUUUUAGGGUCACAGCAAAAUUGAGGGGAAGCUAGAGACUUCCCAUGUACCGCCUCCUCCCACACACACCCAGUCACCCCAUCAUCAACAUCCCCCACCAGAGUGGGACGUUUGUUACAACUCACGAACUUACACUGAAUCAUCAUUGUUACCCAAAGCUCACAGUUUACAUUAGGGUUCACUCUUGGUGUUCUGUGGGUGUGGAAAAUGUAUAGCCACAUGUAUCCAUCAUUAUAGUGUUAAACAGAGUACUUUCACUGUCCUAAAAGUCCUCUGCACUCUGCCUAUUCAUCCCUUUCCACUUCAGCCCCUGGCAACCACUGACCGUUUUACUGCUUCCAUAGUUUUGCCUUUUCCAGAAUGUCAUGUAGUCAAAACCAUACAGCGUGUACCCUUUUCAGAUUGCCUUCUUUCACUUAGUCAUAUGCAUUUAAGUUUCCUCAAUGUCUUUUCAUGGUUUGAGAGCUCAUUUCUUUUUACUGUUGAAUAAUAAUCCGUUAUCUGGGUGGACCACAGUUUGUUUAUCCAUUCACCCACUGAAGGACAUCUUGUUUGCUUCCAAGUUUUGAAAGUUAUGAAUAAAGCUGCUAUAAACAUCUGUGUAAA